CCUACGGGAGGCAGCAGUAGGGAAUAUUGCUCAAUGGGGGAAACCCUGAAGCAGCAACGCCGCGUGGAGGAUGAAGGUUUUAGGAUUGUAAACCCCUUUUGUUAGAGAAGAUUAUGACGGUAUCUAACGAAUAAGCACCGGCUAACUCCGUCCCAGCAGCCGCGGUAAUACGGAGGGGGCCAGCGUUACUCGGAAUUACUGGGCGUAAAGAGGGCGUAAGCGGGGAAGUAAGUCAGAUGUGAAAUCCUGUGGCUUAACUACAGAACUGCUUUUGAAACUGUUACUCUGGAGUGUGGGAGAGGUAAGUGGAAUUCUGAGUGUAGGGGUGAAAUCCGUAGAGAUCAAGAGGAAAACUAGUUGCGAAGGCGACCUGCUGGAACAUAACUGACGCUGAUGCGCGAAAGCGUGGGGAGCAAACAGGAUUAGAUACCCGAGUAGUC
rnacentral:rRNA from 1 species